GUGCCAGCCGCCGCGGUAAUACGAACUGUGCGAACGUUAUUCGGAAUCACUGGGCUUACAGGGUGCGUAGGCGGCUUCGCCAGUCAGGUGUGAAAGCCCCCGGCUCAACCGGGGAACUGCGCUUGAAACUGCGAGGCUCGAGUCAGCUAGAGGUGCACGGAACUUCCAGUGGAGCGGUGAAAUGUGUUGAUAUUGGAAGGAACACCGGAGGCGAAAGCGGUGCACUGGGGCUGGUCUGACGCUGAGGCACGAAAGCCAGGGGAGCGAACGGGAUUAGAUACCCCCGUAGUCC
rnacentral:rRNA from 1 species